rnacentral:lncRNA from 1 species
CAUCCUGUCCACUGUCCUUUUCCUCUACACCAGCUUCACCCUCAUCCUGGUCUUCCCUCUCUACUGCAGCCUCUUUCUGAUCCUCUGCUCCAGCCUCACCCUCCUUUUCUUUCUCUUUAUCAGCCACCUCCUCUUUCUGUUCAACUCCAGCCUCAAGUUCCUUCUGUCCCUGCACCCUAGCCUGUCCUUCCUUCCGGUGUGUCAUUCCAGCCUCACCCUCCUCCUUAUCCUCCAUCUCAGCCUCAUGCUGCUCCUGCUUCUCACCCUCUUGGCCAUCCUCACCUUUGCUCUGUACCUCAAUGCUUGCCUCACCUGUCUUCUGCUUGCCCAUCCCAGCCUGACCUUGCUUCUAGUCCUUUCUUCCCUCCUCACUGUUCUUCUCGCCCUUCUCCCUAGCCUCACCCUCCUCCUCCUCUAGCUCCCUCUUCCCCCACCUCCUUCCUCUCAUUUAUACAUAGCAACUUUAACCUUCUGUGACUACAUCCUGUCUGCCCACUUGCUUCCCACACCAGCCUGAUCUUCCACACUGUCCUUACCUUCGUAUGAUCUCUCACCUCAGUCUUGCCAUGCCUCAGGCCCAUCAAAUUAUAAUCCUCUAAUCUACCCUCAUCCAAGUUCUCCUUAUUUUGUCACCCUUUUCCUUCCCUGACAAAUGACACUCCUUCCCAGUACCUGACCUCAUUUACUCCAUGCCCAGCUCUUCAAGACUCUGUUCCUAUAAUACCUAACCUGCUAAUUGCCCUGUGUUAUCCUACUUGUUAGGCCUCUAUGUUAUCCCCUACUCCUCCUAACAAAUGUACUUACUAGUCUUCUCUACCCCAACAGACCCCCACCCACUUGUGAUCCAGUCACCCUAUCCAUACCUACUGCAUCACAAAUAUAAUCCUGGAAGGAAGUUUGCUUCCCACUGCAAUGGUUUUGGUGAAGCUCACAGUUGUGAAGACUGGACUCCCAGAAACUGGAUGGCAGCUAGAUCCUCUACCACCUGAUCAAUGUGCUUCCAUUAGCCUUUACCUUACAACAUGGCUAGAGCAGAUCAAAUUGCAGGACCGCAAUGGAGAGAAGAAUGAGGGAGAUUCACCCCCUCUGUUCCCCAGGAGGCAGAUUGGCCUACAUGAGGUCUUGUCAGCAGGUAACUACUUCCUGCUUCUGCCACAAAACCCCAAGCCCUGUUCUGGUGGUAUCCAGAAGUGGCCCAGUGGCAGAGUCAAAUCUGAGGUGCUGGGUCAAGUGAGUUCAGAGCUGUAAUGGGACAGAGAAUGGAAUAGGACACUCAGUCACAAAGUAAGGUCAUGACAGGAGGUAUUUUCAGUAAAACAGUGCACAAAAUAUAUGCCACUAGGGACUACAGAAGACAGAAUGUUUUUUUUUUUAAUGCCUAUUUGUUUACAUUUCCUUGAAACACCAACCAACAAUGAGGUAGACAAAGAGACAGAGAGAGUUCCAGCUGCCAGUUUUCUCCCCCAAAGUACAACAACUACAGCCAAGCCUGGCUGAAGCCAGUAGCCUGGAACAAUGUAGAGUAUGCAGGUGGUCCAUUUGCUCUAUUCUUUCUAGCUGAGUAUACUAAUAUUAUUAUAAUAAAUGCUCUCAGAGACAUCCUAUUUUUAGGCUC